rnacentral:rRNA from 1 species
GACGAACGCUGGCGGCGUGCCUAAUACAUGCAAGUAGAACGCUGAAGAGAGGAGCUUGCUCUUCUUGGAUGAGUUGCGAACGGGUGAGUAACGCGUAGGUAACCUGCCUUGUAGCGGGGGAUAACUAUUGGAAACGAUAGCUAAUACCGCAUAACAAUGGAUGACACAUGUCAUUUAUUUGAAAGGGGCAAUUGCUCCACUACAAGAUGGACCUGCGUUGUAUUAGCUAGUAGGUGAGGUAACGGCUCACCUAGGCGACGAUCCAUAGCCGACCUGAGAGGGUGAUCGGCCACACUGGGACUGAGACACGGCCCAGACUCCUACGGGAGGCAGCAGUAGGGAAUCUUCGGCAAUGGGGGCAACCCUGACCGAGCAACGCCGCGUGAGUGAAGAAGGUUUUCGGAUCGUAAAGCUCUGUUGUAAGUCAAGAACGAGUGUGAGAGUGGAAAGUUCACACUGUGACGGUAGCUUACCAGAAAGGGACGGCUAACUACGUGCCAGCAGCCGCGGUAAUACGUAGGUCCCGAGCGUUGUCCGGAUUUAUUGGGCGUAAAGCGAGCGCAGGCGGUUUGAUAAGUCUGAAGUUAAAGGCUGUGGCUCAACCAUAGUUCGCUUUGGAAACUGUCAAACUUGAGUGCAGUAGGGGAGAGUGGAAUUCCAUGUGUAGCGGUGAAAUGCGUAGAUAUAUGGAGGAACACCGGUGGCGAAAGCGGCUCUCUGGUCUGUAACUGACGCUGAGGCUCGAAAGCGUGGGGAGCGAACAGGAUUAGAUACCCUGGUAGUCCACGCCGUAAACGAUGAGUGCUAGGUGUUGGAUCCUUUCCGGGAUUCAGUGCCGCAGCUAACGCAUUAAGCACUCCGCCUGGGGAGUACGACCGCAAGGUUGAAACUCAAAGGAAUUGACGGGGGCCCGCACAAGCGGUGGAGCAUGUGGUUUAAUUCGAAGCAACGCGAAGAACCUUACCAGGUCUUGACAUCCCGAUGCUAUUUCUAGAGAUAGAAAGUUACUUCGGUACAUCGGUGACAGGUGGUGCAUGGUUGUCGUCAGCUCGUGUCGUGAGAUGUUGGGUUAAGUCCCGCAACGAGCGCAACCCCUAUUGUUAGUUGCCAUCAUUCAGUUGGGCACUCUAGCGAGACUGCCGGUAAUAAACCGGAGGAAGGUGGGGAUGACGUCAAAUCAUCAUGCCCCUUAUGACCUGGGCUACACACGUGCUACAAUGGUUGGUACAACGAGUUGCGAGUCGGUGACGGCAAGCUAAUCUCUUAAAGCCAAUCUCAGUUCGGAUUGUAGGCUGCAACUCGCCUACAUGAAGUCGGAAUCGCUAGUAAUCGCGGAUCAGCACGCCGCGGUGAAUACGUUCCCGGGCCU